UACGUAGGGGGCAAGCGUUAUCCGGAAUUACUGGGUUUAAAGGGUGCGUAGACGGCUGUGCAAGUCUGGAGUGAAAGGCAUGGGCUCAACCUGUGGACUGCUUUGGAAACUGUGCGGCUUGAGUGUCGGAGAGGCAAGUGGAAUUCCUAGUGUAGCGGUGAAAUGCGUAGAUAUUAGGAGGAACACCAGUGGCGAAGGCGGCCUGCUGGGCUUUAACUGACGCUGAGGCACGAAAGCAUGGGUAGCAAACAGG
rnacentral:rRNA from 1 species